UCUAUUUUGGUGUCGAUACUAGCCUUCCUGAGGGUCGAUACCACCUUGCUACCCUGUCCUUAGCCUUUCUUGGUUUUUAGGGUCGACACCAGGGGCUUUAAGGGUCGACCCUUCCCUUACUGUUUUGUUUUGGGUGCAUUCUGAAAUAAAGGGUCGACACCACUGGUUUCAAGGCUUGAUCCUUGUCCUCUGCACACAUUAGUGUCUCAGCUUUUCUUCCUGAAGGGUCGAUACCACUAUCUGAAGUAGGGUCAACCUUUGUGAGUAAAUUUUCAGAUUUUUGGUUCAGUUUUGAGAUAUACUUUUUGGGGGUUUAACUUAUUCUUUCCUUUGACUUUAGGGCUAUUAUUCUACUACUAUAAAUAGACCAUAAGCACACUUUUCUCAUUCACCUUUUCUUUUUCUCUCUCUUUUCCCCCUUUAACCCGUGAAUCCCUCUCUCUUUCUCUUAGAAACUCACCUUUCUUACAUAGAUCUCUAAAUCAACUUGGUUAGAGGCAUUUUUCCAUCUUAGUCCUUUGAGAAAGGUUGUAGAUCCAAUCAAGUACUUUCUUUUGAUCAAAGAGUUUCGCGAUUUCAUUGACUUUGGUUUUUCUUCGAGUUCUCCUCUUCGCUUCAAGAGGUAUACAUAUGUGGAUGCGGACUGUGAUGUGAAGUGAUGUUCGAACCGUGUAGGGUGGUUCAGUUAUUUGUAAGCCAAUGACCAUUUAUGUUAUUUAUUGGCCGCGUGCCAUUCUUGUAAAGGUUACAUCCUUGUGUAUGAUGUAAGGCUCAGGGCGUUUAAUUUGAUUUUAUAACAUCUGUACAUGUUUUAGUCACAGAACAUCUAUUAGACUUAGAUCUUGUAUCUAGGAAUGUAGAAUAUUGGAUAAACACAUAUAUUGUGUGGCUAUAUAAUAUUCAUUUGCAUGAGA